rnacentral:rRNA from 1 species
UAGGGAAUCUUCCACAAUGGGCGCAAGCCUGAUGGAGCAACACCGCAUGAGUGAAGAAGGGUUUCGGCUCGUAAAGCUCUGUUGUUAAAGAAGAACACGUAUGAGAGUAACUGUUCAUACGUUGACGGUAUUUAACCAGAAAGUCACGGCUAACUACGUGCCAG